rnacentral:rRNA from 1 species
CUACGUGCCAGCAGCCGCGGUAAUACGUAGGGUGCGAGCGUUAAUCGGAAUUACUGGGCGUAAAGCGAGCGCAGACGGUUACUUAAGCAGGAUGUGAAAUCCCCGGGCUCAACCUGGGAACUGCGUUCUGAACUGGGUGACUAGAGUGUGUCAGAGGGAGGUAGAAUUCCACGUGUAGCAGUGAAAUGCGUAGAGAUGUGGAGGAAUACCGAUGGCGAAGGCAGCCUCCUGGGAUAACACUGACGUUCAUGCUCGAAAGCGUGGGUAGCAAACAGGAUUAGAUACCCUGGUAGUCCACGCCCUAAACGAUGUCAAUUAGCUGUUGGGCAACUUGAUUGCUUAGUAGCGUAGCUAACGCGUGAAAUUGACCGCCUGGGGAGUACGGUCGCAAGAUUAAAACUCAAAGGAAUUGACGGGGACCCGCACAAGCGGUGGAUGAUGUGGAUUAAUUCGACGCAACGCGAGGAACCUUACCAGAUCUUGACAUCCCG